AUGGUCAGAAGACAGAAGUGUAAGGAUUUGCCAACUUUCGUCAUGUUGGUUUCACGGGAAAUUUGGAACGAGCGGAAUGCGAGAGUAUUUAGGAUGGUGUCCGCCAUGCCAAAUGUAAUCACGUCUAGAAUCAAGGCGGAGGUCAGACUUUGGGGGUUGGCAGGGGCCGAACGUCUGAGUUCUCUUAUGCCGCGAGAGUAG
rnacentral:rRNA from 1 species